rnacentral:rRNA from 1 species
AUUGAACGCUGGCGGCAUGCCUUACACAUGCAAGUCGAACGGCAGCACGGGUGCUUGCACCUGGUGGCGAGUGGCGAACGGGUGAGUAAUACAUCGGAACGUACCUUAUCGUGGGGGAUAACGCAGCGAAAGCUGUGCUAUUACCGCAUACGCCCUGAGGGGGAAAGCGGGGGAUCGCAAGACAUCGAGCGAUUAGAGCGGGCGAUGCCUGAUUAGCUUGUUGGUGGGGUAAAAGCCCACCAAGGCGACGAUCAGUAGCUGGUCUGAGAGGACGAUCAGCCACACUGGGACUGAGACACGGCCCAGACUCCUACGGGAGGCAGCAGUGGGGAAUUUUGGACAAUGGGGGCAACCCUGAUCCAGCAAUGCCGCGUGAGUGAAGAAGGCCUUCGGGUUGUAAAGCUCUUUUGUCAGGGAAGAAACACCGGCUCUAACACAGUCCGGGAAUGACGGUACCUGAAGAAUAAGCACCGGCUAACUACGUACCAGCAGCCGCGGUAA